UACAGAGGGUGCGAGCGUUGUCCGGAAUCACUGGGCGUAAAGGGCGCGUAGGUGGCGACCCAAGUCGAUGGUGAAAGCUCGCCGCUCAACGGCGAGUCGGCCACCGAUACUGGGUUGCUGGAGCACUGUAGAGGGCAGAUGGAAUUCCGGGUGUAGCGGUGGAAUGCGUAGAGAUCCGGAAGAACACCGGUGGCGAAGGCGGUCUGCUGGGCAGUUGCUGGACACUG
rnacentral:rRNA from 1 species